GGGUGUUCCUGAGGGGCGGGCCUCGGGGCGCGGCCGCGCUAGGUGCGGGCUGGGGCCUGGCGUCCCCUCCCGCGGAGAAGGCUGAGCGCCCGAUUCCAGGCCAGGUUAAUAAUAAAAAUUGGAAGUUUGUGUCUUUUGUUGAAUAUUGGAAAUUGAAUGUAAUGGCAGCAGAAUUUAUAAAGAGUUGCUGUAGGGGAUGUUUCUAUGGUGAAAAAGAAAAGCGCAAGCUAUCUAUGGAAAAAGACCUUAAAGCCUCAGUAUCAGAUACACAAAAUACUACUGUCUUUAUACCUCCACUGACUUCUGUUUCUGUAAAGUCUCAAGUUGGCUGCAGUGAGGAUUAUCUGCUUUCUAAAUUACCAUCUGAUGGGAAAGAAGUACCAUUUAUGGUGCCCAAGUUUAGGUUAUCUUAUAUUCAGCCCAGGACACAAGGAACUCCUUCACAUCUGGAAGAACUUGAAGGAUCUGCCCGGGCAUCUUUUGGAGAUAGAAAAGCAGAACUUUCCAGUCUAUCCCAUCAUGGACCCAGCUAUGAUGUAUAUAACCCAUUCUACAUGUAUCAACACUUUUCACCUGAUUUGAGUCGGAAACGUUUUCCUCCUCAUUCAGAAGCAACAAGACUAUAUGGAUCAGGUAUAAAAAUUAUUUUUUUAUACUUUUUCCCUGUGUUUUUUAAAAAUUUAGGAAUCAAAUUAAGACACUGACAGAAAUGCUUAUUAUUAAAAACAACUUUAAAAAUAAGAGAAAAAUCAACCUUUAUAAAUGUUUUGACCAUCAUGUCUUUUCUGUUGUCAU
rnacentral:lncRNA from 1 species